AUUGAACGCUGGCGGCAGGCCUAACACAUGCAAGUCGAAUGGUAACAGGAAACAGCUUGCUGUUUCGCUGUCGAGUGGCGGACGGGUGAGUCAUGUCUGGGAAACUGCUUGAUGGAGGGGGAUAACUACUGGAAACGGUAGCUAUUACCGCAUAACGUCUCAAGACCAAAGAGGGGGACCUUCGGGCCUCUUGCCAUCAGAUGUGCCCAGAUGGGAUUAGCUAGUAGGUGGGGUAACGGCUCACCUAGGCGACGAUCCGUAGCUGGUCUGAGAGGGUGACCAGCCACACUGGAACUGAGACACGGUCCAGACUCCUACGGGAGGCAGCAGUGGGGAAUAUUGCACAAUGGGCGCAAGCCUGAUGCAGCCAUGCCGCGUGUAUGAAGAAGGCCUUCGGGUUGUAAAGUACUUUCAGCGGGGAGGAAGGGAGUAAAGUUAAUACCUUUACUCAUUGACGUUACCCGCAGAAGAAGCACCGGCUAACUCCGUG
rnacentral:rRNA from 1 species